rnacentral:rRNA from 1 species
UACGGGGGGUGCGAGCGUUGUCCGGAAUCACUGGGCGUAAAGGGCGCGUAGGUGGUCUGAUAAGGGUGUGGUGAAAGCCCGGGGCUCAACCCCGGGUCGGCCGUGCCGACUGUUAGACUAGAGUACUGUAGGGGCAGGCGGAAUUCCGGGUGUAGCGGUGGAAUGCGUAGAGAUCCGGAAGAAGACCGGUGGCGAAGGCGGCCUGCUGGGCAGUUACUGACACUGAGGCGCGACAGCGUGGGGAGCAAACAGG